UCGAGUUUCAUCACAAUUUACGGGCAUUGCCACUGACCCAAUAUCCAAUACCCAAAAACCUGCGAAACCAGGAAACGAGAUUAAGAACAAACCUUUUCUUUCCCGCCAGAACUAUAAAAUUAGGUGCUCAGUGAAUCCCUAAUCUGUAAUCGGUCCAAAACCCAUUAAUCAUCUUCCACAGUGCGUUCAAGUUCGGCCUUCUGUUUGCAAGGCAGGAAAAUUAUUCCGAUACUUAAGGGCCUUAUUUUGAGUUUUGAAGAUUGAAGAUGUAUGGGAGAAAAGCCUGCCAAUUGGUUAAAGAAAUUGCAAGCGUCGAAAAGGGGCAGCUCACACCUUUCAGUGGUGACCUAUUUCUGUGCUACUGUGGUCUAUUUAGUUGUUGCUGCCCUCCACUCUUUGAGUCUGGGCCUCCUCCACCCUAACUAUGGUGCUGCAUUUUCUAUAUAGCUCACUUUUCUAUUGGUUAAACAUUGUGUGAAUGAUGAGAGGGAGCUAUAAAUGAACCAAUAUAAUUUGAUCUCAGUAUUCCAGUUUUUGUUUUUUUUAUUCUUUUUGUUAGAAGUUGAUUUUUUUUUCUUUACCCGCUCUUAAUAAUUUUUAGUACUUACUGUAGUUGGGAAUCUCUGGGAUUGGUUGUAGCCAAUAUUA